AGCCCAACAAAAACAAAAUGGCGGCGACUAUGGGAACUCACGAUGCUUCGUACAUUGGCCUUUUAGGUUUAGCAGAAACUUUCAGAACAUCGAACCCACCCAAAAUCAGGCAAUGUAUACAGUGUCUCCAGUCUGUGUUUCAAUUUCAACCAUCGCCCGCCAUCCAAGCUCGAACGCAUCUACAGCUCGGGAAACUUCUUCAUUCGCAUACGCAAAAUACGGACAUGGGGCGUUCACAUUUAGAAAAGGCGGUUGUCCAAGCACAAUCUCUUGGAACUGGAUUUGAAGACAUUCAUUUGGAAGCCAUGUGCAUUUUAACAGACAUUUACAAAGAACAGGUAUUAUAAUUUAUGGUUUUGUAGAUUCUAAGUGCCGUAGGACUUUUGCCAUAGCAAGUC